rnacentral:lncRNA from 1 species
CCACCACCGAUUCCCAUCUACAAACCAAAACCCCCAAUCCCGAAGGUGCUUCCACCAAUUCCCAUCUACAAACCCAAACCCCCAAUCCCAAAGGUGCUUCCACCACCAGUUCCCAUCUACAAACCAAAACCCCCAAUCCCAAAAUUGCUUCCACCAAUUCCCAUCUACAAACCAAAACCCCCAAUCCCGAAAUUGCUUCCACCAAUUCCCAUCUACAAACCAAAACCACCAAUCCCGAAGGUGCUUCCACCACCGAUUCCCAUCUACAAACCAAAACCCCCAAUCCCAAAAGUGCUUCCACCACCAAUUCCCAUCUACAAACCAAAACCCCCAAUCUCGAAAGUUCUUCCCCCACCAAUUCCCAUCUUUAAACCAAAACCUCCAAUCCCAAAAGUACUUCCACCACUAGUUCCGACUUACAAACCAAAACCUCCAAUCCCAAAAGUGCUUCCACCAUUAAUACCUAUCUACAAACCAAAGCCACCAAUCUUUAAGCUACUGCCGCCACUUCCAAAGAUCCCACCAUUCCCCAAGAAGCCAUGCCCACCUUUACCAAAGCUUCCUCCGCUCCCCAAGAU